CCUAGUAAGCAAUAACAUACACGUGAAAAGGUGAAAUACUGUAGCUAUGUUAUCAUGAGCAUACAACUCCAAGCUAGAAGCAUCAGAACACCCAGAGAGGCAGUUCUAACCUUAAAUAUGACUGGGAGAAGUGUCCAGAACAAGAAAGCAAUAUAUUCCACAGUAUACUAGAACACAGCAAAACAUGAACAACAGUCCAAACAUAGCUGAGGGCAAUAGAGCAAAAUGUCCACUAGAUGACAGCAAAAUGGACCCAUCACAACCCUACAGGAAGGGUGAGAAAUCCAUAUCUUCAUUUAAACCAGGGUACUUAGUGGCCUGUAGUUUGUAAAUCCAAAAACUUUCCCUUUGGUUUAACUGUUUGAGACGGUCCCCUUUUCUAAUAGAGGCUGGAACAUGAUCAAUACCCAUAGCUUGUGUGUCCAAUUUGGUAACCACUCCCUCUUCUAAUUAGGGCUAAUUGGAAAAGCCUUUCAAAAGAGGACAUUGUGUACUCCUUUUUCUAUACUCCCUGACGAAGGCCAUGCAGCCGAAACGCGUCGGUUUUUAAACAACUUUGUUUCUAUUGAACAUGCCAUACUAAUAAAGGCAUUUUAAUUAAUUAUA